rfam:Sus scrofa breed Duroc isolate TJ Tabasco Contig1914_1, whole genome shotgun sequence.
UCCCUGGUGGCCUAGUGGUUAGGAUUCAGUGCUUUCACGUCUGAGGCCCGGGAUUGAACCCUGGCCUGGGAA